rnacentral:lncRNA from 11 species
GGUUGAUCUAAGCAACAAGCAAGCCUCUGCCCCGAGAAGCUUACAGUCUCAGGAUGAGAGGAUGAGUUCAGGGAAUUUGCUCUAAAGUCCAGCCCAACAACAGUCUGGGGAAUUGUGAACCGUCCCUCUGCUUAAAAAGUUUGAGGACCCCUG